rnacentral:rRNA from 1 species
CAGGACGAACGCUGGCGGCGUGCCUAACACAUGCAAGUCGAACGGACGAGAGGAGCUUGCUCCUCAAGUUAGUGGCGGACGGGUGAGUAACACGUGAGCAACCUGCCCUUCGGAGGGGGACAACAGCUGGAAACGGCUGCUAAUACCGCAUAAUACAGUCUGGAGGCAUCUCCGGGCUGUCAAAGAUUUUAUCGCCGAAGGAUGGGCUCGCGUCUGAUUAGAUAGUUGGUGGGGUAACGGCUCACCAAGUCGACGAUCAGUAGCCGGACUGAGAGGUUGAACGGCCACAUUGGGACUGAGAUGCGGCCCAGACUCCUACGGGAGGCAGCAGUGGGGAAUAUUGGGCAAUGGGGGGCCAACCCUGACCCAGCAACGCCGCGUGGAGGAAGAAGGCUUUCGGGUUGUAAACUCCUUUGACGAGGGACGAUAGUGACGGUACCUCGAAAACAAGCCACGGCUAACUACGUGCCAGCAGCGGC